CACAAGGUGGCGACAGCGUCACGAGCAAACACGAAGUGACGCCAUGAACAAGGUUUCCCUGUUUCACCACGUGAAACCAGCCAAACCCAAAGAAGAUUUCAAGUUUCAACAACGAAAAUCGAAUUGAUGUAAAAUGGAAAAAGGUCCACAUUGAGGAACCAGCUGCAACUAACGUCAGUGCAACCUUCACCGAUGCCACAACUUGCUCAUCCGAAAUCAUCCUUCCCCCAAAUCCUGAUCCUCUACUGCUGCAGGCACCAUCCAUCCAGGGAGGAAGGGACAAACGUCUAGACUGCACAGAUCACUUGAUUCUGACCUGUGCAUUAGUCUACAUCCAACAUGUCAGUAACACACGUGUCAAUGUUGGCCUGUAUGUAUGGAGGGCCACAAUUGUAUUUUGUCAAUUUAUUUAUGGAUCUAUAAAUCAAUUUGUAAACAAAUGUAUUCAUACAUAUGUUUUAUUGUACAAUUAUUUAUUAAAUGAUGAAAUGCCUUAUUGCUAUUUCCAUGACACUUGUGGUUUUCCAUAGACCUAUACAUCUAUUAGUAUUCAAUGUAUGAAUAAAGUAGCUGCUUAAAGUAUUUUCUGUGAUUAUUAAGCCAGUGAGUAUCACUGGCUUAGCAUAAAGACUGGAAAGGGGUUAUCACUUGAAUGACUGUCCCGGCCAAGAAUAUUUUUUCUUACAAUA